UCUUGUAGCCAGAAAUUUAAACCGAAAAAAAGCCACAAAAUGAGCGAAAGUAUUCUGCAAUUUGCUCCCUGGGAGUCCUUUGUGUCGCCUACAUUCUGGCACAAGCUGGCUGAGCUCAAAUUGGAUCACGAUCGCCUGUCGGAUGCCCAACGUUCCAUUUCGGGCCACUACACAAACCGAAAGGCUACGGGCUGUCUGUUGGAGGCGGAUUACACAUCGUUCAAUAGUUCUGGGCAGCCACCAAAGUUCAGCCAUGCUGCCGUUGGAACAAUCUAUAACAAAAACACAAUUGAAGAGUUCAAGGCCCUGGACAAGCUGACGCUGUUGUCUGAUGAGGGCAAGAAACUGUUAGCUGAUAUGUGCAGCGACCGGGUGGCGACUGAUCCCAGUCUGUUGACUCGCUUCUUUGUCCUAUCCUUUGCGGACCUCAAGUGCCACAGCUAUUACUACUGGUUCGCCUUUCCGUGUCCCUUGACGCCCACACUUAAGCUACAGGGAGCCGGUACGAGACUUAAAGAUCUAUCGAAUAGCAGCAAAUAUGUAGAAGCCCUGCAGACGCUUCCACCCGACGUGCAGAACUUCUUCAUCCUCUAUGCCAACGAUCAAGAGGAUGCCGUCGAGGCUCGAAGCUUGAGUUCUCUGGAUGAGAAGGAGGUGGAACACUAUUACUUUGGUUUUGCCGAUCCCAGCGAGUACGAGCAUCCUGCUUGGUUGAUGCGGAACUAUGCCGCCUUUCUGCUGCAACGAUAUCCCAGUUUUAUUGGGAAAUCACUCAGGUUUCUGGGACUACGUUACAACCAACAAAUGCAGAUGGACGACAGUCUGAUAUGGAAUGUAGUUCAAACCGAGGCCUGCGACUUAAACGAAACCGAAGACGUGAAAUUUGUUGGCUGGGAAUUGAACAAAAACGGGAAAAUGGGUCCGCGAAUGGUUUGCAUGAGGGAUAGCAUGGAUCCAGCCAAACUGGCCGAGAACUCUGUAAACCUCAACUUGAAGUUGAUGAAGUGGCGCCUGGUGCCAGAUCUAAAUCUUGAGAUCAUCUCACAAACCAAAUGCCUUCUGUUUGGGGCUGGUACCUUGGGCUGUGCAGUGGCUCGCAAUCUUUUGUCUUGGGGCUUCAAACACAUAACUUUGCUGGAUAACGGAAAGGUGGGAUUUUCCAAUCCAGUCCGCCAGAACCUCUAUACGCACGCAGACGCCGUGGCGGGCAACCGGAUGAAGGCCACAACAGCCGCGUUAAGACUACGUGAUAUAAACCCUUCUGCAGAGACCGUAGGGCAUGUGCUGGAGAUACCCAUGCCGGGCCACACCAUCGGGGAGUCGCUGCGCGCUCAGACUGAGCAGAACUUGCUGCUGAUUGAGCAGCAAGUGCAGGCGCAUGACGUCAUCUUUCUGCUCACUGACUCGCGCGAGAGCCGCUGGCUACCUACACUGCUUGGAGCGGCGUAUGAGAAGAUUGUCAUCAAUGCGGCGCUGGGCUUCGACAGCUAUUUGGUGAUGCGGCAUGGCAGCAGCCGCGAUGAGGCCGGCGACAGUGGGAGGGAAAUCGUGGGACUAAAGUGCAUCAAUGGCAAUCAGCUGGGAUGCUACUUCUGCAACGAUGUCACGGCGCCCGGCAAUUCGCUCAAAGAUCGUACUCUGGAUCAGCAAUGCACUGUGACACGACCCGGCGUCUCCAACAUCGCUGCCAGCUAUGCCGUGGAGCUGCUGGUGGCUCUGCUCCAGCAUCCCCAGCGGGAGCUAGCUCCGGCCUACUACGCCCAAACCGGAAGGCAUCAGUCGAGUGAGGAUUCCGGCAAGGUCCCCGAAGGACUGCUAGGCAUCCUGCCGCACUCCGUGAGGGGAAUGCUCUGCAACUAUGAGAACAUCCUGCCAGCCACGCAAAAGUUCGCCCAAUGCAUUGCCUGCUCAGCGCCUGUUUUAGGUGCCUUCAAGAACGAGGGACAUGCCUUUCUCUUUAAAACCUUUGAAACAGCCAAAUAUCUAGAGGAUUUGACGGGCAUCUCGGAGUUCAAGCGUUUGAACAGUGAGAUAAUCGACUUUGAUGAUGCCGAGUUUGAUAUUUCCGAAGAUGAUGAGGAUUAGUACUCCUUCAUUCUGAAUUUAUAGUAAUAUCUUUUACAAAGCAUUUAUAGUCCAAUGUCUAAACCAAAAUAAUGUGGGAAAAAACACGUUUCCUUCGACGCCUUUGCCCUCUGUUUGCACAAAUAUGUUUUUCUGCUGAUAAGAAGCAAUCGUUUCCAAUGCGCAGAUAUGGUUCUGAUCUGUGUAAAGGCCGGAGAGCAGAAAAAUCCCCAAGUUACGGUUCACAAAUAACAACAUGUGUACAUUCUCCGAUAAUGAUGAGUGGAAUCAUUAUUAGAUGCAUCAUUCGACGCAAAAACAUCCAAAGAAGAUUCUUUUGCGAAUCAAAUCUGGCUAGAAGUAUGCUAAUGACUUACAGAUGCGCAAAAGAAUAAUAGUUCAUAGGUCAAUAAACUAGAGAACGGUAAGAUAGAAAGCCACGA